AUUUGAGUACUCAUACAUAAUUUUUGGAGUUCGGGAAGGGUUCCAACCGGAUAGGAUAAGUCAUGAAAACGUUACUGUCAGAAGGACUAGCGCCCAAGGGUAACUUACUCUUUCUUUUCAAGACAAAACGUUGGAACCACAUGGGAAUUGCGUGGAAAGGUAGGGAAUCUGAUCCAGAUCCAACAUUUUGGUCCCUUGAGCAUGAGAGGAGCAUGGGAAGACCUACUUUACAAAAUUAAAUGGUUGUUUGUGAUGGGGAGGGGUCCUUGGUUGUCUAGGCUCAUUUCUUUUAGCCUAAAAUCUGGUCUGGAGUUUUUGGGCAGAGGAAAGAGGCUCUUGGAGAGGAGAGCACGAAAAUUCUAAGUGUCCAAAGGAUGGGAGAUGACUUGGUCUAGCAAGGGGGAGAAGAGUUGCUCUCUUGGAAGAAGAAGUUGAAGUGUCCAAAAGAGAUCUUCAAGAGUGAUAUGACAGAGGAAGAUGAAGCAGUAAAAUGCGAGGAUUUACGAGUGGGGAACCUGAAUGGGAAUUUCAGAUGUAUUUAAAAGUUAGUUUUUGUCAAAAUUGUAAUUGUGCUAUUUCCUCGGUAGAACUAGAGGAUGAAACUAUUUUAUUUGCAAAUGUUGAAUUCCAAUCAAAGGUAUAAGACGUCUUGUUUGGUUUUUUUAAAAAAAAAAAAUGUAUGUACGCUUCCGCACGCUUUUGGAAAA